CACGUAGGGCGCAAGCGUGUCCGGAAUUAUUGGGCGUAAAGAGCUCGUAGGCGGUCUGUCGCGUCUGGUGUGAAAACUCAGGGCUUAACCCUGAGCUUGCAUCGGGUACGGGCAGACUAGAGUGCGGUAGGGGAGACUGGAAUUCCUGGUGUAGCGGUGAAAUGCGCAGAUAUCAGGAAGAACACCGACGGCGAAGGCAGCUCGCUGGGACGGUACUGAGCUGAGGCGCGAAAGCGUGGGGAGCGAACAGG
rnacentral:rRNA from 1 species